ensembl:snoRNA
AUCCUUUUCUGGUUCAUAAGCAUGAUGAUUGGGUUUUCAUGCUAUUGUCUAAGAUGCGCCUCCUUCAAACUGUGAUACAAUGUCAGCACAUUACCCCCCAACA